rnacentral:misc_RNA from 1 species
UUUCCGUGGGUGAACCAGCGGAGGGAUCAUUACAGAGUUCCACUACUCCCAACCCCUGCGAACCGUACCCCAGUUUGUUCUCGUUGCCUCCUGGCGGCGGGCCCCCGGCGCCACCGCCGGGGCCCCCGCCAGCGGCGGCGAGCCCCCUGAACCUUUUUUUCUCAACCAGCUCGUUUGAGCAAACAAACAAAUGAAACACAACUUUCAACAACGGAUCUCUUGGUUCUG